UAAAGCGAAACUUAUGUACAUUGCUAUCCCAAAAGAGAGUACAAACUUCGAAUAUACAAAGGUUUUCAAUUCUUCGUACAUCCAGCCCAUGCCAAACGCUAGGGCGAGAACCAUUACAAAAGAAUCAAAAGAACUAGACUGGCUAGUCUAUACCAGCUCUUGUCCUUGCUCGCCUUCCCCUGUUAAGGAAAACAAAACUAAAGAGAUGAGCUAAAAGCUCAGUGAGGUUCCGAACACAUAAUCAAACAAUAAGUUAAACACUAUGUCAAGAAGCAUUUACAAUGGAAAGCGAUAAUAACACAUUCAUUAAAAGGAUACGUACUCAUAGGGAGCCAUUCAUUCAUUCAUUCUCCUUUCAUUCCCUUUUUCCUCCAAUCAUUUGAAAAUGCAUUUUUGUAAGUAAAACCCCCCAUUUGCAUUCACAUUCAUUCGUUCAUUUCAUUCACCCCCUCCUGGAUGUUGGCCAGGCUCCACCAGACUACAAGGUAAUACUCGAGUAUACCAAACAUUCACCCAGGGUCACCAUAUCGCCCGAUCGAGUCCGCUUCUGGCUCGAGUCGAUCGGUAACAAAGGGCAGGGCCCAGUUCAACCAAAAGGCUUACAUUCAUGCACAAGUAAUUUUUCAAUCAUUAAAUCAUUGAAAAUUUCACAUUCAUUUAGGUCGAGUGCGAUAAAGUACACACUCGCCUAGAAAACUCGUUUUGACAAACAUUGAACGCAUUUAACAU
rnacentral:lncRNA from 1 species